AGAGUUUGAUCAUGGCUCAGAUUGAACGCUGGCGGCAUGCCUUACACAUGCAAGUCGAACGGCAGCACGGGAGCUUGCUCCUGGUGGCGAGUGGCGAACGGGUGAGUAAUAUAUCGGAACGUACCCUAGAGUGGGGGAUAACGCAGCGAAAGUUGCGCUAAUACCGCAUACGAUCUACGGAUGAAAGUGGGGGAUCGCAAGACCUCAUGCUCAUGGAGCGGCCGAUAUCUGAUUAGCUAGUUGGUGGGGUAAAGGCCUACCAAGGCAUCGAUCAGUAGCUGGUCUGAGAGGACGACCAGCCACACUGGAACUGAGACACGGUCCAGACUCCUACGGGAGGCAGCAGUGGGGAAUUUUGGACAAUGGGGGCAACCCUGAUCCAGCAAUGCCGCGUGAGUGAAGAAGGCCUUCGGGUUGUAAAGCUCUUUUGUCAGGGAAGAAACGGUGAGGGCUAAUAUCCUUUGCUAAUGACGGUACCUGAAGAAUAAGCACCGGCUAACUACGUGCCAGCAGCCGCGGUAAUACGUAGGGUGCAAGCGUUAAUCGGAAUUACUGGGCGUAAAGCGUGCGCAGGCGGUUAUGUAAGUCAGAUGUGAAAUCCCCGGGCUCAACCUGGGAAUGGCAUUUGAGACUGCAUGGCUAGAGUGUGUCAGAGGGGGGUAGAAUUCCACGUGUAGCAGUGAAAUGCGUAGAGAUGUGGAGGAAUACCGAUGGCGAAGGCAGCCCCCUGGGAUAACACUGACGCUCAUGCACGAAAGCGU
rnacentral:rRNA from 1 species